UCGAGAAUUUUUCUCAAUGGGCGAAAGCCUGAAGGAGCGACGCCGCGUGGGGGAUGAAGGGCUUCGGCUCGUAAACCCCUGUCAUUUGCGAACAAACCUCUUCACUUAACACGUGAAGAGCUGAUUGUAGCGAAAGAGGAAGGGACGGCUAACUCUGUGCCAGCAGCCGCGGUAAUACAGAGGUCCCAAGCGUUGUUCGGAUUCACUGGGCGUAAAGGGUGCGUAGGUGGCGAGGAAAGUCUGAUGUGAAAUCUCCGGGCUUAACCCGGAAAUGGCAUUGGAAACUACCUUGCUCGAGGAUUGGAGGGGGGACUGGAAUACUUGGUGUAGCAGUGAAAUGCGUAGAUAUCAAGUGGAACACCAGUGGCGAAGGCGAGUCCCUGGACAACUCCUGACACUGAGGCACGAAAGCUAGGGGAGCAAACGGGAUUAGAUACCCCUGUAGUCC
rnacentral:rRNA from 1 species